UACCAGCUCUCCGAGUGAUGUGGAUGUUUAUUGGGCCUAAAGCAUCCGUAGCUGGCUGGACAAGUCCCCUGUUAAAUCCACCGAUUUAAUCGUUGGUGUGCGGGGGAUACUGUUCGGCUAGGGGACGGGAGAGGCAGACGGUAUUUUCGGGGUAGGGGUGAAAUCCUAUAAUCCCGGGAAGACCACCAGUGGCGAAGGCUGUCUGCUAGAACGCGCCCGACGGUGAGGGAUGAAAGCUGGGGGAGCGAACCGGAUUAGAUACCCGGGUAGUCCCAGCUGUAAACGAUGCAGGCUAGGUGUUUGGACGGCCACGUGCCGUUCUAGUGCCGCAGGGGAGCCGUUAAGCCUGCCGCCUGGGAAGUACGAUCGCAAGAUUGAAACUUAAGGAAUUGGCGGGGAGCACCACCAGGCGUGAAGCCUGCGGUUU
rnacentral:rRNA from 1 species